rnacentral:lncRNA from 1 species
CUUUGGCUGCUCCUACAACAAGAAACAAGAAUUUAAAAAGAACCCAUGGUUCUUGGCCUUCCUGUCCAUCUCCAUGGCAAUAGAAUUAUGGAGUCAAUGGGUCCUGAAUUUGCAAUGUUCUGGAUAGAAAGUUCUGCUCCCCUCUCACCACUCUCCACUCUCUACAAAGAUAAAAGUUAGGGGGUGUGGUUAAUUUUUGUGAAAGCCUGUCAGAAUACAGGACAGCACUGAGAACUUGUGGAGAUUCCCGGACAGCAGAUUCUGGGGAGAAGAAAUCCUCCUUGGAAGGUCCAGGCCAUCCCUGCCAGGCUUGUUGGAGAGCUACAGCCCCGAGCCUGGGAGGGCAGUUACUAAUCAGUCAGUCACGGCAGCAUCAAGCAAGCAGAGAAGGAAGGGAAUAAAAUGUCCUAGGAAGAUGGAAAUAGAUGUUUCAAAGCUUGAGAAGACCACCAGAGCAAGCAAUUCGGUUCAGUGUCACUACUAAGUACCUGAAUAUGGAAGAAGUGAGAAAGAAAGAGGAAAAGGAGAAGAGGGGAAAAUAAGAUGCUGUCAGAUACGGGCAGGAGAAAUCCUUUAGAGUGCUUUGUGACCACCCAGAAGUAGAAGAAUAAAACUAACGCUAUUAAAAAGCAAUGGAAUCCCUGCCUACUGCUGUUUCUCUGCCUCACAAACUUCUUUUUUCCCCUUUAAAUGCAACAAUAUAUUAACACUCUGUCAGUUGAAGAGUGCUUUAUAAAUGGUAGAUGCUGUUUCUUGCUUAAACAACUGCUCUGAGUGCCUGAUAGAGCUAUAGGCACACCUGUUUAAAGCUCUGCAAGUCCCACUCACCCCCCGGAUUCGGAUCUUCAAAGCAACAACUGCAGACCCACCUGUGGCAGGCAGACUUCUAAGACGGCCCCCUGAGAUCCCUGCUUCCUAGAGUUCAUG